rnacentral:rRNA from 1 species
GACGAACGCUGGCGGCGUGCUUAACACAUGCAAGUCGAGCGGUAAGGCCCUUUCGGGGGUACACGAGCGACGAACGGGUGAGUAACACGUGGGUGACCUGCCCUCAGCUCUGGGAUAAGCCUGGGAAACCGGGUCUAAUACUGGAUAUGACUCCAUGACGCAUGUUGUGGGGUGGAAAGCCUUGUGCGGCUGAGGAUGGGCCCGCGGCCUAUCAGCUUGUUGGUGGGGUGANGGCCUACCAAGGCGACGACGGGUAGCCGGCCUGAGAGGGCGACCGGCCACACUGGGACUGAGACACGGCCCAGACUCCUACGGGAGGCAGCAGUGGGGAAUCUUGCGCAAUGGGCGAAAGCCUGACGCAGCGACGCCGCGUGAGGGAUGACGGCCUGGUUGUAA